AGAUACCCCACUUAUGCCCAGGCCUCAAUAAGAUUAUACGUCCACCAGAAAACUACGAGCGAAAGCCUAAAACUCAAAAGACUUGACGGUACCCCAACCUACCUAGAGGAGCCUGUUACAUAAUCGAUAACCCACGAUAAACCUAACCACCCCUUGAAAUACUUCAGCCUAUAUACCGCCGUCAUUCAGCCUACCUUCUAAAAGAUAUCAAAGCAAGCAAAGCAGUGUAUUUUACUAAAAAGUCAGGUCAAGGUGUAGCUAAUGAGGUGGAGCUAAUGGGCUACAUUUUCUAAAAUAGAACACACGAACUAGAAUUUGAAACUAUCUAUAAAGGCGGAUUUAGCAGUAAGCCAAACCAGAAUAUUUGACUUAACACAGCUCUGGGGCACGUACACACCGCCCGUCACCCU
rnacentral:rRNA from 1 species